rnacentral:lncRNA from 1 species
AAGGGUCUCGAGUGCGGGCGGGAGGGAGCCUGUCAGGGUCCCUGGGAGUGGCAGCUCUCAGGUGUGCCUCUGCUCAGGUGACCUUACUGCGAACUGCCUCCCUUUCCGGCCACCAAAGUAGCUGUUCAGUCUUGCUUGGGAUCAGGACCAACUCCACGUCCUUGAGCAUACAUUAGCCCUUUUCUAGCUGCCAUGCCUCAGUUUACCUCCGAGUGAACUAAGGGAGAAGCCUUUCCUCUUGGCCAGCAGGACUCCACUGUGUCCUAAGGUGUCUGCAGAGCCGGAGCCCGGCCACCGCCACACCGCACCAUGGCGCCCACCCUGGCCACUGCCCAUCGGCGCCGCUGGUGGAUGGCCUGCACUGCUGUGUUGGAAAACCUCCUCUUCUCGGCAGUCCUCCUGGGCUGGGGUUCGCUGCUCAUCAUGCUCAAGUCGGAGGGCUUUUACUCCUACCUGUGUACGAAACCAGAGAAUGUCACUAACGGCACAGUCGAGAGCACUGCAGAGCCGGAGCACGAAGAGGUGAGCCUAGUGA